CAGGGAUUGCCUCAGUAACGGCGAGUGAAGCGGCAACAGCUCAAAUUUUAAAGCUGGCGUCCUCGACGCCCGCGUUGUAAUUUGGAGAGGCAUCUUCGGUUUGGGCGCCAGCCUAUGUUCCUUGGAACAGGACGUCACAGAGGGUGAGAAUCCCGUGCUUGGCUGGCUGUCCCUCUCCAUGUGAAGUGUCUUCGACGAGUCGAGUUGUUUGGGAAUGCAGCUCAAAAUGGGUGGUAAAUUUCAUCUAAAGCUAAAUAUUGGCGGGAGACCGAUAGCGCACAAGUAGAGUGAUCGAAAGAUGAAAAGCACUUUGAAAAUAGAGUUAAAAAGUACGUGAAAUUGUUGAAAGGGAAGCGCUUGAGACCAGACUCGGCCGGAGACGAUCAGCGGUCCUUUUGGGCCGUGCACUCGUCCUCGGUCGGGCCAGCAUCGGUUGAGACGGCGGGAUAAAGGUCCGGGGAAUGUGGCUCCUUUCGGGGAGUGUUAUAGCCCCGGGCGCAAUGCCGCCAGCCUCGACCGAGGACCGCGCUUUUUUGCUAGGAUGCUGGCGUAAUGGUCUUCAGCGACCCGUCUUGAAACACGGACCAAGGAGUCUAACAUCUAUGCGAGUGUUUGGGUGUCAAACCCUUGCGCGUAAUGAAAGUGAACGUGGGUGGGAACCCCUCGUCAGGGGGGCGCACCAUCGACCGAUCCUGAUGUCUUCGGAUGGAUUUGAGUAGGAGCAUAGCUGUUGGGACCCGAAAGAUGGUGAACUAUGCCUGAAUAGGGUGAAGCCAGAGGAAACUCUGGUGGAGGCUCGCAGCGGUUCUGACGUGCAAAUCGAUCGUCAAAUUUGGGUAUAGGGGCGAAAGACUAAUCGAACC
rnacentral:rRNA from 1 species